GCGCCUGUAGCUCAGCGGAUAGAGCGUCUGCCUCCGGAGCAGAAGGUCGGGGGUUCGAGUCCCUUCAGGCGCACCA
rnacentral:tRNA from 1 species